rnacentral:rRNA from 1 species
CCUACGGGAGGUAGCAGUGGGGGAUAUUGCACAAUGGGCGCAAGUCUGAUGCAGCGACGCCGCGUGAGCGAAGACGUUUUUCGGUUUGUAAAGCUCUAUCAGCAGGGAAGAAAAUGACGGUACCUGACUAAGACGCUCCGGCUAAAUACGUGCCAGCAGCCGCGGUAAUAUGUAUGGAGCAAGCGUUAUCCGGAUUUACUGGGUGGAAAGGGAGCGUAGGCGGCCCUGUAAAUCUGAUGUGAAAAUUUCGGGCUUAACCCCAAACGUGCAUUGGAAACUGCAGGGCUUGAGUGCAGGAGAGGCAGGCGGAAUUCCUAGUGUAGCGGUGAAAUGCGUAGAUAUUAGGAGGAACACCAGUGGCGAAGGCGGCCUGCUGGACGGUAACUGACGCUGAGGCUCGAAAGCGUGGGGAGCAAACAGGAUUAGAUACCCCUGUAGUC